CCAAACACAUAAUCUGUCUUCGUGCCAUCUAUCACAACCAUGGAAUUUCAGAUGUAGUACUAAGAGGAUUUAUUGAUAUAAUAGCAAAAUUAUAAAAUAUUAAGCAAAUGUUUCAAAUGUUCCAAAACAUCUGCAGAAAUCUUAAUUUACAUGGAAAAUAGAUGUAAAAUGAAAAAUCUUUCUUACAGAGAUAUCAAAGAGACUACAGAAUGAAUGCUGCUUCAGGAGAAGAGAAAAUCUAAUUGAGCUCUUCAGUUUUUCGGCAAGGACGGUGAUGCAGACUGACGUGUCUAUAAGAAGCAAAGAAAAUUAGAAGCCUCCCGCCCCGAUAGCUCCCCGGACCAGCCAGAACAGGGUGGGGCUGACCACCCUGUUCAGAGAAAGGGCAUAUCAGAGAGAAGUUCAAAGUGAUGUUUGUACUGCUCCUCCUCCCAUUUUUUUUCUAACCACAGCAACU